rnacentral:snRNA from 1 species
GGAAGUGAGGGCAGUCUGGCUGGGAGGCGUGCCACCCCAUUGAUUGCCAGGGUUGAUUUGGUUGAUCUAGCUGGCUAGGUGGGUAUCCUCUUCCUCCUCACCACACCGUGUGCGUCCCUCCUUAUGCACACUCAGUGGAAGAGGAUGGCCUUCCCUGAAUUGAGGACAAGGACCGAUCUUCGGUCAAGGGUAUACAGUAGCUGAGCUCCCUUGCUAGAACCUCCAAACAAGCUCUCAAGUGCCUAUAUCAAACUCUUGCUUCUACAUUCGUUCAUAAGGUAUAUAUCUCUUAAAAUAUUCACAUGUAAGAGAGAAAUAAGCUAUACCACAAAAUCAAAUUUUGCUUUUU